ACCUGCAAUGGAUCCAUGGGGAACGAGCGAUCCAUAUGUGGUUUUUCAAUUGGAUGGUCAGGUUGCUAAAAGCAAGACAAAAUGGGGGACAAAGCAGCCAACAUGGAACGAGGACUUCACUCUUAACAUCAAGGAGCCUUCAACUAAAUAUGUUCAGGUUGCUGCAUGGGAUGCAAACUUGGUGACUCCACAUAAACGAAUGGGUAAUGCUGGCAUUAAUCUGGAAUCUCUAUGUGAUGGAAAUUUG
rnacentral:misc_RNA from 1 species